rnacentral:snRNA from 1 species
CACUCUUGUUUCUCUUCAGAUCGUAUAAAUCUUUCGCCUUUUACUAAAGAUUUCCGUGGAGAGGAACAACAAGAGUUUGUCCUAAUUUUUUGAUGCCCUGCUGUUUGGUGGGGU